rnacentral:tRNA from 4 species
GCCCCGGUAGUAUAGCCCGGUCAAGUAUGUGGGCCUUUCGAGCCCGUGACCCGGGUUCAAAUCCCGGCCGGGGCACCA